rnacentral:rRNA from 1 species
CCUACGGGUGGGCUGCAGUGGGGAAUAUUGGGCAAUGGGCGCAAGCCUGACCCAGCAACGCCGCGUGAAGGAAGAAGGCUUUCGGGUUGUAACCUUCUUUUCUCAGGGACGAAGCCAGUGCCGGUACCUGAUGAAUAAUCCACUGCUAACUACGUGCCAGCAGCCGCGGUAUUACGUAGGUGGCAAGCGUUAUCCGGAUUUACUGGGUGUAAAGGGCGUGUGGGCGGGACUGCAAGUCAGAUGUGAAAACCACGGGCUCAACCUGUGGCCUGCAUUUGAAACUGUAGUUCUUGAGUACUGGAGAGGCAGACGGAAUUCCUGGUGUAGCGGUGGAAUGCGUAGAUAUUAGGAAGAACACCAGUGGCGAAGGCGGUCUGCUGGACAGCAACUGACGCUGAAGCGCGAAAGCGUGGGGAGCAAACAGGAUUAGAUACCCGUGUAGUC